AUUGAAAUGGUUCCAUACAGACAUCACUGAAAAAAGGAGAAUAUGACUAAGAUAAUCGAUAUUUUAAAUCCUAAAAAAGUGCAAAAUUGAGAAUUGGACAAACAGAGACACAUCAAAUGUUCUAAAAAAUGAAAGCAAUGACAAGGCCAGUACCUAGUGAACUUCCUGAUUGGAUUUCUACACAGUUAUCAAGCUCUUUGUAGAUUACAUCCCUUUAUCGUCUCAAGCCCUACUCCACUCCCUGAUAAAACUUGCAUUGGGGUAUAGAAUAUAGCUCUUGUUCACAAACUAUCAUAUUUUAAUGACAAAAUUUCAAUCCUGUGCACCAACUUUAAAAGCUUUAAUUGAUUGAUUGUAUCUUGUUUAACACCCCCUGGAGAAUUCGUCACUCAUAUCGAGACGUCAAUAAGACCGGUGAGGGCUUUAAGGUACUCAAUGUAUAAUGAGCAUAUUUCAUAUCUAGUAAAUGGAUGAUGGGAUGUACUGUAAUCAUAGUAUCAUUUUGAAGAGAUCAUCAAAUAAAAAUAAUCCACCAUAGGAAUUUUCAAAAUUUCUAUUGCUGUUUGAUUUAUUUCACAUAGAAUUUUACAUUGAAGUCUAUGGGAAGAUCAUGAUUUCUCAAAUUAUUUCUAAAAGAAAUCACAUUUUCAUACAAUUCUCUUGGUAAAAAGUUACACAUAUUUUCUCUUUAUGAAAUGAAAUUAAUCAUUUACUGUACAUAUUUUUAGGAAAUCAGAUUCUUCUUACAAAUACGAAGGACAUAUAACUCUUCAAAAAGAGGAUUGAAUAUGGUCGUUUCCACGAAACAAGUGCCGGAUUGGACCUUGAUUUUGGUUCUGGAUCCCCCCCCCCCGUUUUUUUAGCUCUUUUUCACAUUUCGUUAUAUUUUCGAAUCUCGACUUCUCCAUCAUAUUUUGAUUUGAUUAAUUUAGCUGAGGGUUUUAGACAUUUCCAACAUGAACAUGCUGUAUUAUGAAGUUUGUUUUUACUGGUAUCAAAUUACAUCGUCGUUUAAGUUCCCAACGACAACAAUGGCUAGUAUUGAUUGGCUAUAACAUUCGAAUUGAACAAUAGCAAAUACAUGGAUUAUCAAACUUUGCUUACGACAGAUGUAACGUUGUCUGUUUGUAUCCAAGACCUAUAAGGUCAUUUUGACCUAUAAAACACGUAUCAAGCCCUUGAACUUGAUUCCAUGAGAUGGGUACAAUUCGAAUGUGCGAAACCUGUGGUCAGGAAUUCAAGACCAAUUUUGGAUUGCGUAGACAUGUAAAAAUGAAACAUCAACCAGAGAAAUUGUCAUUCAUUUGUUGCCAGUGCAACACACGCUUUUACACAUUGUGAACAUUUUACAUAGUAUUCUGAAUACACGAGGUGCAUGCAUGUACCAUGACAGCCCUACAGAGAUACUGUUAAUCUUUUACAGUGAUUUUUACUUACGUUGAUUUGUUAUUUCAUUGAACCAGAAGUGUUCUUAACUAUUGCUUGUUAUUGAUUAUAUUUCAAUGUUACUGCGGAUUUAUUGAACUGAUUACAAAACUAGAAAAAUAUUGUA